rnacentral:rRNA from 1 species
AUUGAACGCUGGCGGCAGGCCUAACACAUGCAAGUCGAGCGGUAACACAGGGAGCUUGCUCCUGGGUGACGAGCGGCGGACGGGUGAGUAAUGUCUGGGAAACUGCCUGAUGGAGGGGGAUAACUACUGGAAACGGUAGCUAAUACCGCAUAAUGUCGCAAGACCAAAGAGGGGGACCUUCGGGCCUCUUGCCAUCAGAUGUGCCCAGAUGGGAUUAGCUAGUAGGUGGGGUAACGGCUCACCUAGGCGACGAUCCCUAGCUGGUCUGAGAGGAUGACCAGCCACACGGGAACUGAGACACGGUCCAGACUCCUACGGGAGGCAGCAGUGGGGAAUAUUGCACAAUGGGCGCAAGCCUGAUGCAGCCAUGCCGCGUGUAUGAAGAAGGCCUUCGGGUUGUAAAGUACUUUCAGCGGGGAGGAAGGUGUUGAGGUUAAUAACCUCAGCAAUUGACGUUACCCGCAGAAGAAGCACCGGCUAACUCCGUGCCAGCCGCCGCCGUAAAAC